CUGGAGGGCCCGGCGGCGGCGGCGUCCUGGAGGGCCCGGCGGCGGCGGCUCCUCAUCCAAAGAAAUGAGGCGACGUUUCGGAGGUCCAGGCGGUCGGCCCGGUGGAGGUCCUGGAGGAGACGGUCCCGGCGGUGGAGGUCCAGGUGGGUGGCCCGGUGGAGGUCCUGGAGGAGACGGUCUCGGCGGUGGAGGACGGCUGGGGGAUCCGGCGGUGGAGGUCCGAAGGCGGCUCGUGAUUAGACCAACCAGCUCCUCAUCCAUGGAAGGAUUGAAGGAGUCACUGGGGAUGAAGAUCACUGGGGAUGAAGAUCACUGCUCAGGGGCUGACGACCACCCCCCCCCCCCCCCCCCCCCCUCAUCUUUCCGGAGAAGCGUCCUCAAGGUGCAGGCGGUCAAACCACCACAUCUUUGAAGAGACCAAGCAGCUUGAUGACUGACUGGUUCCUUAUACUCCGGAGCAGAGGACGGACCAAAGGCCCGCAGCGCAGCAGACUAGAGACUCUGUGGAACCGGUUCAAUAAAGUUGACCUCUCCUUCAGGCGACUUGAAGGGAGACCAGAUGUGCGGCAGCUGGGUGUCGCGGUGCAGAGACCCAACGCUGCACUGAACUACACCAGUGUGUCCUACGCCCCCAUAAACCCUGAGGAUCCCUGGCUACACCAGCACAUUAAUCCACACCCAACAUUAACACGCAGUGCACACUCUAUAGAGUUUGUAAGUCCGCCCCUUGCGGCGGGACCUCGUGAGAUCGUAAGAUAUGACUGGGUUUCAAUGGAGAGAAAGUCAUUAUUUUCUCCAUUAUGUUGCACCACAUUUUGGGGGAAGAAUGUUUGAAUCAAUCUUUGUCAUUUAUUUCCGUACUCCAUAUCUGUAAUCCCAGCUGUUGUAUUUUAACACGGUAGCUGGGAAUCCUCUUUAUAGGGAGCGACUAGAGGGACGAGGCUGGAAGCAAACCUGAGCCUGGCUCUUAACCUUCUUUCUAAACCUAAUGCCGCAAUUUAACCGCAAAUAAAGUGAGGCCUAAAGUAACUUGACUCUCUUACCUAAACUUGCUUGCCUAAACUCGCUUGUCUAAACUCGCUUGCAUAAAAUCUGAACUUGCUUGGCUAAACUCGCGUCACUUGCCUAAUACCUGAACUCGCUUGCCUAAACUCGCUUGCCUAAACUCGCUUGCCUAAACUCGCUUGCCUAAACUCGCUUGCCUAAUACCUGAACUCUCUUGCCUGAACUCUCUUGCCUGAACUCUCUUGCCUGAACUCUCUUGCCUGAACUCUCUUGCCUGAACUCUCUUGCCUGAACUCUCUUGCCUGAACUCUCUUGCCUGAACUCUCUUGCCUGAACUCUCUUGCCUGAACUCGCUUGCCUGAACUCGCUUGCCUGAACUCGCUUGCCUAAACUCGCUUGCCUAAACUCGCUUGCCUAAACUCGCUUGCCUAAACUCGCUUGCCUAAAACCUAACUUGCUCAGCUUGACUCGCUUGCAUAAUAACUGAACUCGCUUGCAUAAAACUUGCUUAGCUUGACUCGCUUGCCUGUACUUGCUUGGCUAAACUCGCUUGCCUAAUACCUGAAGUCGCUUGCCUGAAGUCGCAUGCCUAAUACCUGAAGUCGCUUGCCUAAAACCUAAACUUGCUUGUCCAAACAUGUUACACAAAGUUAACCAUCCAUAAUCUUUAACCCAAACCAGACUUGUCCCUGGGUCGCUCCACUAUAAUUUAGAAGUUUCUUCUUUUACCUCAUCUGCGUUUUGAGUUUCAUUCUUUGAGGGCUUGAAGUGCUUUGGAGGAUAUUUGAACCUUUGUUUGCCGCAUUUGUUCGCCAAAUGUUCAGUGUCCUUUGACGUAAUGUCUAUGGUCUGACGAUAAUCUGACCUCUUCAUGAAGCAGAA